AAGGGGACAAUUGAUACACUUACUUUGUUGACUGAAAAAUUUGGAAAGAGAGCUGGUAACAUGAAGAUGGCCUCUCUUGCUACAUAUUUUGGCCUUGGAGAGCAAACACAUAGAAGUUUGGAUGAUGUCCGAAUGAAUUUCGAAGUACUAAAGCACUGUGCAACUGUCUUGUUUUUGGAAUCUAGCCUGCCUGACGUAUUAACCAAUAACAGUUGGGUGUCUCCUAAUGCUUCCAUAAGAAGUCGUGCUAAUGGAAAUACUAAUUCGGAGGGGAUGGGCUUGAGUAUAGAUACACCUUCAUCAAGUGUCAAGACAGGACGUCCUAUGAAAUCUGUUGCAGAAGCUUACAUAGAAUCAGACAAUCCAAUACUUCCGCUUGUGAGCAGAAAUAUGGAGGAGGUACCAGAUCUUAUUGAAACAAAUUCCUCGAGGCCUGACCCUUUUAACUUGGUCCAAUUCAGUGCAGAAGUAAGGGAAUCCAUUCAAUUAGAUGCAAUGGAAGAAGAACCUGCUUCAUGUUCUCAAGAUUUUUCUGCAUCAAUUGCAACAGAGGGUUACAUUGGCUUCACAGACUUCUUAGAACCAAAUAAAAUUUCAAUUUCUUCUGUCUCCUCAAUUCUUUCCCCCAUACAUCGUGGAAUGCCGAAGAUACAAAUCUUGCACAACAAUACUGAGUUGCAAGUUUGCUCUAAAUU
rnacentral:misc_RNA from 1 species